AGUCGAGCGAGAUCCUUCGGGGUCUAGCGGCGCACGGGUGCGUAACGCGUGGGAACCUGCCCUUAGGUUCGGAAUAACAGUUGGAAAUGACUGCUAAUACCGGAUGAUGACUUUUGGGGAAAGAUUUAUCGCCUGAGGAUGAGCCCGCGUAGGAUUAGCUAGUUGGUGUGGUAAAGGCGCACCAAGGCGACGAUCCUUAGCUGGUCUGAGAGGAUGAUCAGCCACACUGGGACUGAGACACGGCCCAGACUCCUACGGGAGGCAGCAGUGGGGAAUAUUGGACAAUGGGCGCAAGCCUGAUCCAGCAAUGCCGCGUGAGUGAUGAAGGCCUUAGGGUUGUAAAGCUCUUUUACCCGGGAUGAUAAUGACAGUACCGGGAGAAUAAGCCCCGGCUAACUCCGUGCCAGCAGCCGCGGGUAAUACGGAGGGGGCUAGCGUUGUUCGGAAUUACUGGGCGUAAGGGCACGUAGGCGGCUUUGUAAGUUAGAGGUGAAAGCCUGGAGCUCAACUCCAGAACUGCCUUUAAUACUGCAUCGCUUGAAUCCGGGAGAGGUGAGUGGAAUUCCGAGUGUAGAGGUGAAAUUCGUAGAUAUUCGGAAGAACACCAGUGGCGAAGGCGGCUCACUGGA
rnacentral:rRNA from 1 species